UACGAAGGGGGCUAGCGUUGCUCGGAAUCACUGGGCGUAAAGGGUGCGUAGGCGGGUCUUUAAGUCAGGGGUGAAAUCCUGGAGCUCAACUCCAGAACUGCCUUUGAUACUGAAGAUCUUGAGUUCGGGAGAGGUGAGUGGAACUGCGAGUGUAGAGGUGAAAUUCGUAGAUAUUCGGAAGAACACCAGUGGCGAAGGCGGCUCACUGGUCCGGUACUGACGCUGAGGUGCGAAAGCGUGGGGAGCAAACAGGG
rnacentral:rRNA from 1 species